UAUAGAGGUAAUUGCAUUUUUGAUAACUUGUCCAAUUUCCGUUGUUGUUUCAGUAAUUUACCGACCUCCUGGCUAUAAUGUGAAGCAAUUCUGUGAGAAUUUGAGAGAACUAUUAGAAGAGCUGCAUAAAAUAUUCACUGUGCAUGAACUGCUUGAAAGAACUCAGGCUGAUACUAAACACAAUUAAGGUUCAAAAUGUAUUUGUAUAUGAUUUUACACAAGAAACUAUGCAAGUAU